UACAGAGGAGCCAAGCGUUGUCCGGAUUGACUGGGCGUAAAGCGCACGCAGGCGGGUGUGCGCGUGGGGGGUGAAAUCUGGCCGCUUAACGGCCAGGCGCCAUCCCAUACGGCACGCCUGGAGUGAUGCAGAGGUCGAUGGAAUUGCCGGUGUAGUGGUGAAAUGCGCAGAUAUCGGGAGGAACACCGGUGGCGAAGGCGGUUCUCUGGGCCUGACCUGACGCUGAGGAGCGAAAGCGUGGGGAGCGAACAGG
rnacentral:rRNA from 1 species